ACCCUCUCAGGAUCACACCUGAAGAGUUUCUAGUACUUUUCCAGUCUCGGCUACGGGAGGGAGAAUCAAGCAGAGGACUACCCGUUUCAUUCCUUGCUUGAACGGUGGCUAGUGAGUGAAAAGCACUCUGCUACAAGU